AUUGAACGCUGGCGGCAGGCCUAACACAUGCAAGUCGAACGAGUGGCGGACGGGUGAGUAAUGUCUGGGAAACUGCCCGAUGGAGGGGGAUAACUACUGGAAACGGUAGCUAAUACCGCAUACCAUCGGAUGUGCCCAGAUGGGAUUAGCUAGUAGGUGGGGUAAUGGCUCACCUAGGCGACGAUCCCUAGCUGGUCUGAGAGGAUGACCAGCCACACUGGGACUGAGACACGGGCCAGACUCCUAUGGGAGGCAGCAGUGGGGAAUAUUGUACAAUGGGCGCAAGCCUGAUGCAGCCAUGCCGCGUGUAUGAAGAAGGCCUUAGGGUUGUAAAGUACUUUCAGUGGGGAGGCGUUACUCACAGAAGAAGCACCGGCUAACUCCGUGCCAGCAGCCGCGGUAAUUC
rnacentral:rRNA from 1 species